rnacentral:rRNA from 1 species
AUACGGAGGAUGCAGGCGUUAUCCGGAUUUAUUAGGUUUAAAGGGUGCGUAGGCGGCCCGGUAAGUCAGCGUUGAAAGUCUGCGGCUCAACCGUAGAACUGGCAUUGAUACUGUCGGGCUUGGAUGUGGCGGAAGUAGGCGGAAUGUGCAGUGUAGCGGUGAAAUGCUUAGAUAUUGUACAGAACACCGAUUGCGAAAGCAGCCUACUACACCAUUAUUGACGCUGAGGCACGAAAGCGUGGGGAUCGAACAGGAUUAGAUACCCUGGUAGUCCACGCAGUAAACGAUGAUUACUGGUUGUUCGCGAUAGACAGUGAGCGACUGAGCGAAAGCAUUAAGUAAUCCACCUGGGGAGUACGUUCGCAAGAAUGAAACUCAAAGGAAUUGACGGGG